rnacentral:lncRNA from 1 species
GAAGGUGAGUGAGUGCUGGGUCAGAGUGGACAAGGAAGAGUCCCAGCUGGCUCCAGCGAGCCUCCCUCCCCCUUCCCUGUCAGGGGCGCCUCCAGGUACAGAGAAAGCCAGACUAACCACUACUAGUCUGGGCGAGCUGUCAGCCAUCUGGGUCAAAUGAUGAACUGUGAGAUGAACAAGACUUGGAACCAAGUUCUUUCUUCAAGGUGUCCAGAAGAUCCCACCUCAGCCCUGCAGGGCAAUGUGUGGAUACCGGAGGAGUGAACACUAGGUUGGGAAGAAGGGAAGCAUCGACCACGGGCAGCCUCCUCUCACGGACAGUGCCACCGAGACCUUCUGUCAGCAGCCUCAUGCUUGGCUAGGGCUGCACGGGAGACGUGAACAGCACCAGGAGAGCCCUCCAUCCCCACAAGAUUGAGAAACCGAGGCACAGCAUUGUGCAACUCUUCUGUGCCACUUGGAUUGGAAGCUGAAUCCAGAGAGAGGGGCAGAGAUGGCUUUCAACACUGGGACAGGCAAGAGAGACGACAAGAUGAAGCUUAGAUGCCUCUGAGGUUCUAGGCACCAGCAUGAUGUUCAGGGUCGCUUGGGAAGUGUGGAUCUGGCUCUCGGGGCCCAUCACGGGGGCCUUGAAACAGUCACAUAGUACUUAGAGCAUGAAGCAGCUACCAUAAAAUAUCUUUUCA